rnacentral:rRNA from 1 species
GACGUAGGGCGCGAGCGUUGUCCGGAUUUACUGGGCGUAAAGAGCGCGCAGGCGGUCGAUCAAGUCGAGUGUGAAAGCCCCCGGCUCAACUGGGGAGGGUCAUUCGAUACUGCCGGACUAGAGUUCGGAAGAGGCGAGUGGAAUUCCCGGUGUAGCGGUGAAAUGCGCAGAUAUCGGGAGGAACACCUAUGGCGAAGGCAGCUCGCUGGGACGUUACUGACGCUGAGACGCGAAAGCGUGGGGAGCGAACAGG